UUUAAAGUCUAGCCUGCCCAAUGAUUGUUGAAUGGCCGCGGUAUACUGACCGUGCAAAGGUAGCAUAAUAAUUAGUUUUUUAAUUGAAAGCUUGAAUGAAUGGUUGGACGAGAAAGCGACUGUCUCUAAUUUAAAAAUGGAAUUUUAUUUUUAAGUGAAAAAGCUUAAAUUUGUUUAAAAGACGAGAAGACCCUAUAGAGUUUUAUAUUUUUUUUUUAGUUAUUUAUGUGUAAUUGUGUUGUUUCUAUGAUUUUAAGUAUUUUGUUGGGGUGACAGAAAAAUUAAUAAAACUUUUUCUUUUUGUUUACACUUAUUUGUGCUUUUUUGAUCCGUUUAUUUCGAUUAUAAGAUUAAAUUACCUUAGGGAUAACAGCGUAAUUUUCUUUUAGAGUUCUUAUUGAAAUGAAAGUUUGCGACCUCGAUGUUGGAUUAAAAUUAAUUUUCGGUGUAGUGGCUGAAUUAUUAGGUCUGUUCGACCUUUAAAAUUUUACA
rnacentral:rRNA from 1 species